AGUUUGAUCCUGGCUCAGAACGAACGCUGGCGGCGUGCCUAACACAUGCAAGUCAAACGGGAAAGUCCUCUUCGGAGGGCGAGUACAGUGGCGAACGGGUGAGUAACACGUGGGUAAUCUGCCCUCGGGAUCGGGACAACCUUGCGAAAGCGAGGCUAAUACCGGAUAAGACCACAUUGUCUACGGGCGAUGGGGUAAAAGGUGGCCUCUUCAUGAAAGCUAUCACCUGAGGAUGAGCCCGCGGCCUAUUAGCUUGUUGGUGGGGUAACGGCCUACCAAGGCGACGAUGGGUAGCCGGCCUGAGAGGGUGAACGGUCACACUGGCACUGAGACACGGGCCAGACUCCUACGGGAGGCAGCAGUGGGGAAUUUUGCGCAAUGGGGGAAACCCUGACGCAGCAACGCCGCGUGGGUGAUGAAGGCCUUAGGGUCGUAAAGCCCUUUUAGUGGGGAAGAAACAUCUUGGGGCCAAUACCCCCAGGACUUGACGGUACCCACAGAAAAAGUCCCGGCUAACUACGUGCCAGCAGCCGCGGUAAUACGUAGGGGGCGAGCGUUGUUCGGAAUUAUUGGGCGUAAAGAGCGCGUAGGCGGGUUGGAAAGUCCGGUGUGAAAUCUCACAGCUUAACUGUGAAACUGCAUCGGAAACUGUCAGCCUAGAGUGUGGGAGAGGAGAGUGGAAUUCCCAGUGUAGAGGUGAAAUUCGUAGAUACUGGGAGGAACACCGGUGGCGAAAGCGGCUCUCUGGACCACAACUGACGCUGAGGCGCGAAAGCUAGGGGAGCAAACGGGAUUAGAUACCCCGGUAG
rnacentral:rRNA from 1 species